UUUUCAGAGAGCUGUAGAGCAACUGUCUUAUGGUGCAUAGAAUUUGGUAAGGAGAUGCUUCAACUGUACUUUUAUUUAUGACUGCAAUCAUCACUCAACAGUGAUAAAAAUUUUUGGGAUUUCUUUUCAAACCAUUGGGGUAAAUUCCCUUUCUAUAGUUUUUCAGAGUGUGUAUUUCAUUCCAAGAUCAGCAUACCUUAGUGUUGAAAGUCAAGGGAUGAAUUUGCCCUGAAGGUUUUACUUUCAUCCACAGAGGCAAAAAGGGAGUAUCAGCUCUAUCCCUGUAAGGCCAAAAUCUGCACGUAAUCUCUUGCACAUGAUGGAAGUAGCAUGUGAGAAAAACAAGUUGAAGCCCUCUCCCAGCUUUACCAGGAAAGAAGAAUCGCAGGAUGGACUGCAACAGAAGUGCUGAAGAAUGGAGUGACUGAUGUAUAAGAAAAGUGACACAUGCUGGAAGGCCUAAAAAAAAAAUAUCUAGCACAGAGUCCAACUUUGACCUUGAUGAUUUUUGACCAUCCUCAUCUGAAUCAGCAUUUGCUCAACAAUCUCUAGUGGUGUAAUGCCUUUUAAUUCUGGCUGAAUCUUUCAAUAAUCCCUUAAAUAUUGAAGAGUUUAACUGAGAAAGUUUAAUCAGUACAAAGAUUUAUUGCAUUAAUGAUGUAGGUUAUCAACUGAUAUCCUAAUUGCCUGAAAUAUUUAUCUACCCCAGAACCAUGUAAAAGUUUUUUCAUUCCCACAAUUAUUCAUUUUUUUUCUAAUGCUUAGAGAGAGUAAUGAUUCAUUUGGAAGAGAUCCAAGACAAACAUUAUUUAAAUCACUUGAUCCAUUUACUAAUUUGUUGAAAAAUUAACAAGAGCAUUGUUAAUUUUAAUGCAUCUUUUUUUUUUUAGUAGCAUGGGUUGAGUUAGGGAACUUUUCUUAAAGCGUGACUACAUAAGAAUGCCAAGAAAUAAAUUUUACAGUAGAAGGAGAAAAACAGUAAGGAAUGUGGUCUGUGUGAAAAUUAUUUUUUCUAGGGAGUUGACUGAAAGAAAAGAUCUGAUCACAUAAGCAUUUUUAUCCCUUAAAAUAAAAACUAAAGAAAAAAUGACUGUAAAAAAUUAAAACUAGAAUGUUUCUUCAAGUGAUUCUAAGACCAAAUAUUUCAAUUUAGUUUCAGGUAAGUUUAGCAAAGGAAAGAAAUGGAAAUGAAGAGAUACAUUUGGCAAACUCUCCCAAAAACAGACAUGAUAAGAGACAAUCCCUCAUUUUUUACUCAAGAGUACUCACCUAAAGCAGAUAUAGCUCAAAUUUAUUUCUCUCCUCUGCCUCAGGGAAUAUAACUUUCCAUGCAGGGUGCCUCAGCUGCUAAGGCACUGAGCUCAGUAGACUACUCUCCAUCUUUUACUCUCAGGCUGGUCAAUUUAUUCUAAAGUAUUUACAAUUUAUUUUGAUCAGUGACUGGAAACUAAGUGUUCUCACUUGCUAUCUCUUUACUUAAAUCCCUUGAGUAGCAUCCCAGACAGCUCUUCUGAUUCUUUUUCUCUCUAACUGAAUUAAUCUUCAAUUAUUCCAUGCAAGGUAGAACAGUACAAGAAUAAGAAAUGAACUUGCCAUGGCUCGGUCACUAAUAUGUGAUAAUUUAGUUCAAAUGCGUCUCAGCUGUAAACAUAGAAGGACUUUGGCUCAAGGGUGGUCAGUUUUUAUGAGAACCUUCUAUCACUGGUUUAGGAGAUGUGCAAAGGAGUAGAGAUUCCCUCAGUCUCUCCUGUUAGAGGGUUGUCAAAGGUAGACUUUAGUUGCAAGAUAACUUACCACUGGAUUCUUGAUUUGAUUUUUUUUUUUUCCCAAAGGGUUUACAACUUUCUUGUUAUUUAAAACAUACAAAGACAGAUUUUAUAAAUCUGUCCAUAGACAGAAGUACCACCAUGGUGCAGAUGGAAGAUAGAUUUUCUCUGUGGCAGGCAACCUUUUAUUAUUUAUUUGAAAUAAUCUGGACAAAGUACAUUUCCAUAUCUAUAUUAACACAUUUCCAUAUUUUAAGUUUUGUGCUUCCUGAGCACCUAUACCUGAAAACAAAAAUAUUAGAUUCAGUUAAAGACCAAACAGUCUAGACCACAAUUUUUUGACUUAAAACCAAGCCACAUUUUAUUUACAGUGUGAUUAUAUCUCAUAAAAUAAUGUCAGUUUUAGGAAAUGACAGCUGUAUCAGUCAGGGCUUGUCUCUCUCUCUCUCUCUUUCUCUCUCUCACACACACACACAUUAAAAGUAGGGUAACCAGAACAUCUCUCAUUGUGGUACAUUCAUUCAUACAUGCAUCUAAUAAUGAAGUGAUUCUUUCUUUGAAUCUUGGUGACACUGUAUUAAUUCCAUCAAAUAGUGCCUCCAUGUUCAAAGCCACUUGUUGUGAUUUUCUGAAAAUUUAGGACAGGAAGACAGACUGUAAACAGCUGACUCUGAGUUGAAAUGUCAUUUUGGCAUACACAGCUUAAAAGACCCUGUUUGAAGAAAUUACAUUAUGGAAAAGCAAGCUCUUUAGGCCAGCAGCAAAUCCAGAAAACUGUUGUUUCCACAUAUACUUAAUGUAGCACAUCCUUCAUGAUGUGACAGAUUACAGUAACUGCAGGGAUUGGGUUUUGUUUCUGGGGUAGUUUUUUGGAGAGUGUGGCGCCCAGCUUAUCAGAUCUAUAACAACAAUACAAUUGCUGGCUCUUAGUUGGGGAUUUCAGGCUGAAAUUACUCAGGGUCUUCA